rnacentral:rRNA from 1 species
GUGCAGCAGGCGCGAAACCUCCGCAAUGCGCGAAAGCGUGACGGGGUCACCCCGAGUGCCAUCCGCUGAGGGUGGCUUUUGCCCGGUGUAACCAGCCGGGUGAAUAAGGGGAGGGCAAGUCUGGUGUCAGCCGCCGCGGUAAUACCAGCUCCUCGAGUGGUUGGGACGAUUAUUGGGUCUAAAGCGUCCGUAGCCGGCCGGAAAAGUUCUCCGUUAAAUCCAACGAUCCAAUCGUUGGGCUGCGGAGAAUACUCUCCGGCUUGGGGGCGGGGGAGGUCGGCGGUAGUCCCGGGGUAGGGGCGAAAUCCUAUAAUCCCGGGAGGACCACCAGUGGCGAAGGCGGCCGGCUAAAACGCGCCCGACGGUGAGGGACGAAAGCUGGGGGAGCGAACGGGAUUAGAUAUGAAGUUGAGUUUUUGCCAGCUUCACUAGAUACCCGCGUAGUCC